UAGAACUAUGGUUAAGGAACUCGGCAAAUUACAUCCGUAACUUCGGGAGAAGGAUGACCCUAUUAGGGUGAAGGGACUUGCUCCCCGAGCUCGAGAGGGUGACACAAACCAGGGGGUAGCGACUGUUUACCAAAAACACAGCAGCGUGCUAAGCCGCAAGGCGCUGUAUACGCUGUGACGCCUGCCCAAUGCUGGAAGGUCACGGGGAACGGUUAGUCGAAAGGCGAAGCUGUGAACCUAAGCCCCAGUGAAUGGCGGCCGUAACUAUAACGGUCCUAAGGUAGCGAAAUUCCUUGUCGGGUAAGUUCCGACCUGCACGAAUGGCGUAACGACUUCCCCACUGUCUCAACCAUAGACCCGGCGAAAUUGAAGUACGAGUAAAGAUGCUCGUUAGCUGCGGAAGGACGGAUAGACCCCAUGGACCUUUACUACAACUUGAUAUUGAGCUUUGUCCUGCAUUGUGUAGGAUAGGUGGGAGACUUGGAAGCUGUGGCGCUAGCCAUGGUGGAGUCAUCGUUGAAAUACCACCCUGUGUAUGACGGGGCUCUAACCUAGGUCCAUUAUCUGGAUCAGGAACAGUGUCAGGCGGGUAGUUUGACUGGGGCGGUCGCCUCCUAAAAUGUAACGGAGGCGCCCAAAGGUUCCCUCAGGCUGGUUGGCAAUCAGCCGUCGAGUGCAAUGGCACAAGGGAGCUUGACUGCGAGACCUACAAGUCAAGCAGGUGCGAAAGCAGGGCAUAGUGACCCGGCCAUCACGUGUGGAAGUGUGGUCGCUCAACGGAUAAAAGGUACCCUGGGGAUAACAGGCUAAUCUUUCCCAAGAGUCCAUAUCGACGGAAAGGUUUGGCACCUCGAUGUCGGCUCAUCGCAUCCUGGGGCUGAAGCAGGUCCCAAGGGUUGGGCUGUUCGCCCAUUAAAGCGGUACGCGAGCUGGGUUCAGAACGUCGUGAGACAGUUCGGUCCCUAUCCUCCGCAGCCGAAGGUGUAUUGAGGAAGGCUGUCCCUAGUACGAGAGGACCGGGACGGACGGAGCUCUGGUGUGUCUGUUGUCCUGCCAAGGGCAUGGCAGAUUAGCCACCUCCGGAAGGGAUAACUGCUGAAAGCAUCUAAGUAGGAAACCCGUUCCAAGAUGAGUACACCCAUGCGGUUAACGCAGUAAGGCCCGUGACAAGACCAUCACGUUGAUAGGCCGGAGGUGUAAGCACGGUAACGUGUGUAGCCGACCGGUACUAAUCGGCCGAGGGCUUGGAUUA
rnacentral:rRNA from 1 species